rnacentral:rRNA from 1 species
CCUACGGGAGGCAGCAGUGAGGAAUAUUGGUCAAUGGACGAGAGUCUGAACCAGCCAAGUAGCGUGAAGGAUGACUGCCCUAUGGGUUGUAAACUUCUUUUAUAUGGGAAUAAAACGUUCCACGUGUGGGCUUUUGUAUGUACCAUAUGAAUAAGGAUCGGCGAACUCCGUGCCAGCAGCCGCGGUAAUACGGAGGAUCCGAGCGUUAUCCGGAUUUAUUGGGUUUAAAGGGAGCGUAGGUGGAUUGUUAAGUCAGUUGUGAAAGUUUGCGGCUCAACCGUAAAAUUGCAGUUGAAACUGGCAGUCUUGAGUACAGUAGAGGUGGGCGGAAUUCGUGGUGUAGCGGUGAAAUGCUUAGAUAUCACGAAGAACUCCGAUUGCGAAGGCAGCUCACUGGACUGCAACUGACACUGAGGCUCGAAAGUGUGGGUAUCAAACAGGAUUAGAUACCCUAGUAGUC